UUAUAUAUUUAAGUACAUUUUAGCCAAAAAAAUAUAGCCUACAACAGCUUGACUAUGCUGAUUUAUUUAUUAUUUAUUUGUUUUGAGACAGGGUCUCACUAUGAGACUGACAUGGAACUCACUGUGUAGUCCAGGCUGGUCUCGAAUUUAGUGAUCCUCCUGAGUUCUGGGAUUUGAGGCAUGCGGCACCACGCCUGACUCCUAUUCCUUUUUUUUUGGUUAUCAGGGAUUGAACCUGGGUUCUUGCACUUGCAAGGCAGGAAGUGGAACCACUGAGCUACAGGUCGCUCUGCUUUGGAAGAGUUUGAAGCAACUUGGUACUGUAGGAACAACUGCUGAGACUGGAGACAUUUUGGAGCUCAAACCUGCGGAGGUGGUGUGAGAUACAGUUGGCUGGCCCUAGUCUGAAAGUCUGAAAUACUCUGAAGUUGGAAACAUCUGAACACCAUUUGGGCAUUGAGUGGGCUGAGCCCACGGGUACUGCUAGUCCUCCUGCCAUCCUUGAGCAGUUACUAGGUCUAAGGCCUCAGCACCCAGAGCGAGCCCUGUGAGCGGCAUGUGCUGUACUUGCGCUGCUUUCCUGGCUUUGACAGAGUCCAUGCUUAUGGAAGAUGUUACGGAAGGCCCUGGGACUUUGCCAGCAGAAGCCAUCACUACAUGUGGCCUCUCAGCCUUGGGCCAGAACCAUGAACCCGGAUAAGCCUCUGUUCCUUAUAACUUCGUUGGCAGGCUACUGUCAUUAAAUCAAGUGGACUAAGACAGAUGCAACAGGUUGGCAGUAAGCUGUGUUUACCCCUUCGAGUCUGUCUCAGUAGUUAAGAGUUGGCGCUUACGUGCUCUAUAUCCAACCUGGCGGAAGGACUGGGCCCUGUAUGUACAAUCCUUACAGCGACCUUGUAUGCGACACAUUUAGCUCUGGAUUAUGGAUGGAGAACUUUAGAGAUGUGAAUCACCUGGGCCGUCUGUGACUGGGAAUGUCUCCUCCACCUGCCCGGAACGUGGGACACACACUGAUCCAGCCACUUGCCCGUGUACCUGCCUUGCAUUAGGUGUGGCUGCCCUGCACGAAUGCUUUACUUACCUGAGGUUUAUUCAGACACAAAGAUCUCUGAGUUCUCCAGGAUCCACACCUUUCCGUUGCUCCUGUGGCCAUCUCGCACUUCGUCAUUUUCCUGCCGACCCCCUGGUCUCCCAGACAGUGAUGUAAGACUCAGGCAGAGGUCUCUGGCUCAUGCUGGCCCUCAGCUUGCCUCACCCCAACGGCACACUCCUAAACACAUUCGGAUGUUGUUCUUUUACACCAUAUUCUUGGUGGAAGAAGUGCUAGUGAGGUUACUCCUUGGUAAGCAAGAGAGGUAGGUGCCCCCUCUUUUCUACCUGGGUUGGAAGACUGCAUUAGUAAAGGCAGAGACUAGAGAGAUGGAGACAGAUCUUCAGAUCAGAAUAAACUGGAAACCCACUUGCUGGCUCGGGCUGGGGGGGACCCCAAGGGGACAGGGCCCAUUGGGAGUUCCUUGUGCCUUGGUAGAGGUCAAGUGUCUUCUGUGUCAAUUAGCCCAGUUGCAGAUGCUAAGUGAGCACAGGUGGACUGAAAGCCCUCGUCUGCAUGAACAGAAUCAAAUCUGGGAAGACAAGACUACCAGGGCUGGUGCUGAGGAGUUCCUGCUUUUUUUUUUUUUCAGGCAUGGCUUCCUUCCUCUGGAUUUAGCUGGAAUCACUGACUCUGGGAACUGGAAAGGAUUAUGGUUCUUUCUUGGGAAGCGUGCAUCCCAGCUUCCCUUAGAAAGAGCAAAGGCCCUAGUUAAGGGAAGUACCAGUGCAGGCUGCCCUGUCCUGAUGAGCUGCUCCAUCCUUUUCAUAACUCCCAGCACACAUGAGGUUUUACUAUGUGGCCAGUGUGCCUGACAUUGAUUUUAAAAAAAGAAAUGUUUUAUUUUUAGUAGUCUGAGCUACUGGGAUAUCCUUUCUAUGUUUUGGAUGAGCUUCUAUUUAUAGAAUGCCACAAGGAAGUCUAGGCACUGCUUUAAAUAUUUUAGUGACUGCUAAAACUUGACAAAUUAAUAUUAAAUAUAUGCUUGAAGAGUAAGUGGGAGAUUGUAUCUGGCAAUUCUUGGCCGGAAGCAUUAUAAUCCUUGAUCAUAUAUCUCACAUGUAUUGUGUAUGUCAGAGAGGAAUACAAGUGAAAUAUGCCUUAGAAGAAAAUAGACCCAUCAGAGCCCCACUGUAAUCAUGGCACUUGGGAGGCUGAGGCAGGACUGUUUGAGACCAGCCAGAGUAACAGUGAGACUCUGCCUCCAAAAAUAUAUCGUUACUGAACUGUCUUUGAGACAGGUGAAGUUACAUGAACUCACUAGGUAGUCAUCGGAUUUCUAGUGAAGUGCUUUGACGAUACGGAAAUGAGGCAUUUGAGAAACAUCCACACACACACAGCAAUGUAACUUUCUUGCUGAUGGGAGAGUUCUCUUUAGCACCACUGACAUUUCCAAGAGAGCUUAUUGCUCUGCAGGAAAAUAACAUAAGUGGUUUCUAAUGAGUUGUGUUCCAGGGAGGUAGCUUCUCAGGGACUCCCUGCCCUGGGGAGUUGUGGCAGACACCUGGCCCUUCACAUGGCCCUUGCUGUGGUCCAGACAGAUGAGGUCAGCCUGUGACCAGUGGCUACAGAUGCCAGCAAAUAUAGUUCUAGUCCUUUGGUGUCCAUAGCUCUUGCCAUCUAAUUUCAAGAAGCGAGUGUCUGCUGUCACUACUAUGGUGGUGAUGGUUCCCCCAGGAGGAGGACAGUCAGAUCCAUUGCGGAGAGUUCUCCUUCCGGUCUCUCUUCAGUCUUUGGAUUCGAAACGGUGCCCUGGGGCAAAAACAUCCUUCCUGCUCCCUACAAGCAUAUCAACACAAAAAGCAAUUUUCAUGAAUGUCUCCCUGCAGUAUUAAUAAGGCUGCAGAAAGAUUGAAAAGUGAAGCUCUUGGUUUCAGAGAGGAGGCAAGGCACUGUCCAUACAGACUGGAUAAACUGUCAGGGAAAAAAACGGCUACUGCAUCGCUACUCAUUGCUUUCUCUACCAAGUUCCACUUUUGCUCCAGAUCUUUGCUAUCAAUUAACAAAUGCUAGAGUAAUGGCAAGAUACUCAUUGUCUCAGCAUGUGGAAGUUAUUGCUGGUUGUUCCAUUGUUAUUAGGAAAAUCCUCAUCAGCUUGCCAACUUCACUGAUGCUUCAUAUAAGCAGAUAUUCUUAUCUGCGUGACCAGGGCACCACGGCCACUCUGGCUUCUGAAUCACUCUGGGCCACCGGCAUGGACACACUGAGCCUUUCUAAGUGCUCUUCACACCACGUGGUGGUCCUGCACAGGUGGCACCAGGGCUCAAGCUGGGUUCCUCAAGAGACUUGUUAUCCAUGCCUGGCAGGCUGGGUCUGAAGAAGAUACCCCUAUCCCAAGGGUAGGACAACUUCUGCCUUCUGUCCCUUGAGCCCUGCCUUGGCCUUUAGCAGCUGCUGUAUUUAUAGUGUGGCCUCAGUAUCUCAGAUGUAGACUAAAGUACAGGUAUCCCUUGGUAUCCAUGGAGCACUGGAUUCAGGAUCCCUGUGGCCACCAAAAUCCAAGGACACUUAAGUCCCUCAGAAAAGGGUGGAAUAAAAAUAUUGCACAAAACCAACACACAUCUUCCUGUAUUCUUUAACCUGGCAGUAGAUUACAUAUACCAACCACUGUGGUGCAAGUGCCACCGAAGUAACUGAUUAUGGUGUUGUUUAGGGAAUUGUGACAAAGUCGGUAUGUGUUCAGAAAGGAUUUUUUUUUCCUCAAUAUUUUAAAUCCAUGGUAGGUUGUGGAGAUGGAGGGC